UACAGAGGUGGCAAGCGUUGUUCGGAAUUACUGGGCGUAAAGGGCGCGUAGGCGGCCUUCUAAGUCAGACGUGAAAUCCCCAGGCUUAACUUGGGAACUGCGUCUGAUACUGGAGGGCUUGAGUGCGGGAGAGGGAUGUGGAAUUCCAGGUGUAGCGGUGAAAUCCGUUGAUCCAUUGAAGACCACCAGUGGCGAAGGCGGCUUGCCAGAACGCACUCGACGGUGAGGGAUGAAGCUGGGGGAGCAAACCGG
rnacentral:rRNA from 1 species